rnacentral:rRNA from 1 species
AGUGAACGCUGGCGGCAGGCCUAACACAUGCAAGUCGAACGGCAGCACAGUAAGAGCUUGCUCUUACGGGUGGCGAGUGGCGGACGGGUGAGGAAUACAUCGGAAUCUACUUUUUCGUGGGGGAUAACGUAGGGAAACUUACGCUAAUACCGCAUACGACCUACGGGUGAAAGCAGUGGAUCUUCGGACCUUGCGCGAUUGAAUUAGCCGAUGUCGGAUUAGCUAGUUGGCGGGGUAAAGGCCCACCAAGGCGACGAUCCGUAGCUGGUCUGAGAGGAUGAUCAGCCACACUGGAACUGAGACACGGUCCAGACUCCUACGGGAGGCAGCAGUGGGGAAUAUUGGACAAUGGGCGCAAGCCUGAUCCAGCCAUACCGCGUGGGUGAAGAAGGCCUUCGGGUUGUAAAGCCCUUUUGUUGGGAAAGAAAAGCAGCAGGUUAAUACCCCGCUGUUCUGACGGUACCCAAAGAAUAAGCACCGGCUAACUUCGUG